UUAGACCCAGGAUCUUCAAACCCAACCACCACACUGUAAGAACACGUACAGGGAUGUAGGUCGACAUUUCACAUCACAGCUUUGGUGGGGCUCCUAGUGAGCACUCGGAAUCAAUGGGGACGAGAGCAAGAAUGAUUCAACGUGCUUCCAGCACCGGCUAUGAAAGAAAGCUCGAGAGAGAGAUUGCCCAGCUAGAUGAAGGACACCAGAAUCUGAGAAGCUGAUGCAACAUGACCAGCCCCCUCAGAUUCCUGCUGCUGCGGCUUCACUGCUAUAAUGGACUGUAACCUGGAACUCAUCCAACUGUUCAUAUUGGGACCUUCCUGAACAAGGCAACCUGUAAACAACUGCACAGUGAUCAUCCUGCUGCCACCUUCUACCUUCAGUUCUGAAAUUAAAAAGCUGUAAAAUGAAUAUCCAGAAAGGCACAGAAUCUAAGACACGGCUCCUUUCAAUUAAGGGUAGCCUGGGACUUUAAAAAAUGUGAUCCAUCAUGUAAGUAUAUGGGUGGUUUGUGAUGCAAUGUCAAGUGGCGAAUUUAGACAGUGUGUUCAUACUUUUGACUGGUGAAUGUGUUGUUUCUAUCAUUGCUACCCUGCCCCCCAGCACUUGCUUGGGGGCUAAAACUGUGAUUGUUGUCUAAUUUGAAAUCUUGCCUUCAAAUGGGUAUAUAGAAAAAACAAAAUCUUUCCGUUUUGAAGAACUGAGUUUGGACCUGUGAAAUAACUAUCACCACAUAAA
ensembl:antisense 1700020G17Rik RIKEN cDNA 1700020G17 gene